CUGGCUCAGAACGAACGCUGGCGGCGUGCCUAACACAUGCAAGUCGAACGCGAAAGUUUCCUUCGGGAAACAAGUAGAGUGGCGAACGGGUGAGUAACACGUGGAUAAUUUGCCUUUUGGUUGGGGAUAACAUCUCGAAAGAGUUGCUAAUACCGAAUAAGACCACAGAAUCUGCGGAUUCAGUGAUUCAGUGGUAAAAGGGGGUUUCGGCCCUCGCCAGCUGAUAAGUCCGCGUCCCAUUAGCUUGUUGGUAGUGUAAUGGACUACCAAGGCGAUGAUGGGUAGCUGGUCUGAGAGGAUGAUCAGUCACACUGGAACUGAGACACGGUCCAGACUCCUACGGGAGGCAGCAGUGGGGAAUAUUGCGCAAUGGGCGAAAGCCUGACGCAGCAACGCCGCGUGGGUGAUGAAGGCUCUCGGGUCGUAAAGCACUGUCGGCAGGAAAGACGGGUUCUAUGGUUAAUAUCCAUAGUUGUUGACGGUAGCUCCAAAGGAAGCACCGGCUAACUCUGUGCCAGCAGCCGCGGUAAUACAGAGGGUGCAAGCGUUGUUCGGAAUUAUUGGGCGUAAAGCGCGCGUAGGCGGUUUCUUAAGUCGGAUGUGAAAGCCCGGGGCUCAACCCCGGAAGUGCAUUCGAAACUGAGUAACUUGAAUCUCGGAGAGGGUGGUAGAAUUCCUGGUGUAGAGGUGAAAUUCGUAGAUAUCAGGAGGAAUACCGGUGGCGAAGGCGACCACCUGGACGAUGAUUGACGCUGAGGUGCGAAAGCGUGGGUAGCAAACAGGAUUAGAUACCCUGGUAGUCCACGCCGUAAACGAUGGAUACUAGGUGCAGCGGGUAUUGACCCCUGCUGCGCCGUCGCUAACGCAUUAAGUAUCCCGCCUGGGAAGUACGGCCGCAAGGCUAAAACUCAAAGGAAUUGACGGGGGCCCGCACAAGCGGUGGAGCAUGUGGUUUAAUUCGACGCAACGCGAAGAACCUUACCCAGGCUUGACAUUGAUAGAAUCCUGCAGAGAUGUGGGAGUGCCCUUCGGGGCCUUGAAAACAGGUGCUGCAUGGCUGUCGUCAGCUCGUGUCGUGAGAUGUUGGGUUAAGUCCCGCAACGAGCGCAACCCCUGCCCUUAGUUGCCAGCGGUUCGGCCGGGAACUCUAAGGGGACUGUCGGUGAGAAACCGGAGGAAGGUGGGGAUGACGUCAAGUCCUCAUGGCCUUUAUGUCUGGGGCUACACACGUGCUACAAUGGCUGCUACAAUGCGCUGCGAACCAGUGAUGGGGUGCCAAUCGCAAAAAAGCAGCCUCAGUUCGGAUUGGAGUCUGCAACUCGACUCCGUGACGCCGGAAUCGCUAGUAAUCGUGGCUCAGCAUGCCACGGUGAAUACGUUCCCGGGCCUUGUACACACCGCCCGUCACACCAUGGGAGUUGGUUGCUCCAGAAGUCCGUGAGCCAACAUUCGGGAGGCAGCGGCCCAAGGAGUGG
rnacentral:rRNA from 1 species